GUCCGGGUGAGUGUGAGCGCUUAAGACGCGAGGCCUUAAUCUGGAUUUUUUUUUUUUCCUUUGUUAGUUUGUUUUUAAGCCAGCCUUCCUGUAUCCGCGGUGAGCUCGAUUUCACAACAAUUUAUCUGCCUUUGUUGUGAACUGCUUGAACCGCCAGGCUCUGGCUUUUCCUAGUAAAGCUUCUCUGGCGAUUUUCUCUAAAAGACGUCGUGGACAUAGCGUGUCCUAGACGUAAUUUUGUGUACACUGUUCCGUAGCUGGGGAGGGGAGGUUAUUUUGGGGGGAGUUGAAGACGUAGAAAUGGCAGGGCUUUGUGAAGGACAAAAUGGUGGCGGCAGGAGGCCAUCCCCUAUGAUGAGUACCUUUUCACAGACCUGUACUGAUCUCCGUGAGGAUAAGUGACUCUGAGGAGGAUGGCCUUGUACCUACAGCCUCUGGGUCGAGCUUUCUCCCCAAAAGCGACAUAGCAGUGACCGCAUGCUAACUUUAUUUUGCAGGUUUGAAGCACUUGACUGCACUCGAAAGAAUGAGAGUAGGCUCUCUCUUUGCAAUAUGGCUGACCUUAAAGCAGCUUACAGUUUGGAGACAGACCCGUUUAGUGAUAAAAAUUGGACAUUUUGCUGGUAGUCCAGGUGGGUACUUAUUUCUGCUUUUUAGGGAGGAGGGAGUACAUUUAGAUUACCUCUUAAUGAUGAGUGUAAAUGACAAGCAUAUGGCUGAACUACAGUGAUGUCAUUUUACUACUGAAAAGUGGGCUGAAGAUCAAGAAUGUGCACGGAUGGCUAUGGUUACAUUUAGUAAUGGCUUGAUUUUUCUGUGUCUAGGAUCCUGUGACAUUCUGGGAUUUUCAAGCUACCUCCCAGGAUGAGUACAGGUAAUAGUCUAACUGGGACUUGGAGCCUUUGCAGGGAGAGUCUAAAAUAAUCAGGAGGGGGACAUUAACCAGCGAACUGCUUUUUUCACUGUGCUCUGCAUGUUAUUAGUCACAGGGUUCUUUAUAAAGCCAUAUCACUGUCAGAUGAUUUGAAUUGGUACGCUGAUGCUCAAUGAAGCUGUAAAUUAAUAGCAUGUUAGAGUUCUGAUGGCAGUUAUUGGUGAUAAGGGAAUUUUGUGCUGUCCUGAUGAUUGAAAAUGACUGCUUAUUUCUCCUUCCCAGGCUCUCCUGAUGUUUUCUUUAUGAAAAGGUGAGGUGAUUUUCCUGAUAGUGCUGAAGGCUGAACCCGUUUUUUUUUUUUUUAACAUGGGUUUUGUUCACUGGGUUGACAGUUUCCAUGAUGAAUCAAACUAGCUCACUAUGACUGCCAGUGAAAACACAGGAACACCUGAGAAACUGCAGAGUAGGGUGGGGCCAGGGUGCCUGAAUCCAGCCAUCUGUUAAAUAGUUUGCUUUCUUUUCGCCAGGUUCUGAUACAGUGCCAAACUUCCAUACUUGUUGAUGCAUAGGUGAGUAGUUUUACCUUGGUGCAUGCAUUGAGCAUUUUACUCUGGUGCAUUCCUAAAAGGCAUGUAUAUGAUGACUUUCAUAGAAUCUCGUUCGGCUGAUAAUUGCUGCUGAGACCUGGAAAUCUGAUUUUUUUUUCUUUCCUCAAAACGAUGGGUUACAAGAGAAUGGUAAAUUGCAAGAUUUAAACAUUGUUGAUAAUUGUCUUGUUUCAGGUCCGGUGUCUAGGCCAGACUCUGAGCCAUGCCAGGUAAAAUGCUUUUUGUUACUUGCUAUAGUUUGUUAGAUGUGGCAUUGUGUAAUGCCUCAAUCUAGUGUGUUCCUGCUCACCAUGAUGAUUUGAAUACCGCCCCAGUCUGAUGACUGAAGAAAGGUAUUUACUGAGUUGUGAGCUUACCUUGCUCAAACAGGAAGAAGUUUAAGCUAGCACAUGAUUUAUAUAGAAUAAGCUUUCAUGUAAAGUUUUCUUCUAAGCAGUAGGGAUAAUUGCCAAUUUCUGAUCUAUCUUGUAGGAAAUCAUCUUCACAAUCCCAGCUAAAGUAAGGUGAGAAAACAUAAAUGUAAGGUCUAAUGAAUUAUAAUUUCCCCAUGAAGAAACAUUCACAUGUCUUACUUCCUGUCCUAGCUCCAGAGCCUGAAAAGGUGAACCCACUGGGGCUGGCUGGGGGAUAAGAGGAACAUUUGUUCCAGAAGGAACUGUCUGAGGGAUUGCAUUCUUGUACACAGAAAGGAAAAGGUUUUUGUCAGUUGAUAAAAAUAAGGUGGUUUAUGUCUUUUACAGGUCUGAGGAAAGCAUCAGCUGUGUGUAAAUGGUAGGUGGCCCUUCAGGUCAUAGAAAAAGCCAGGAGGGGCUGAGGAGGGAGGGAGACCUCAGUGGAUAGACAACCUGUAACUCAACUCAAAAGAUCAGGAAGGAGUUCUGAGGGACUGACUAUGGGGUGUUUAAAAAUAGAACCCAAAAGUCCCUGGUCUAACCCGUGGUAGGUCUCUGUAGUGCUCUACCCUGACACUAGCUCAAUGGACAUUCUAGAUUUGUCUUAAGUGUUAAGUUUGGGCAUGCUACCUGGAUUUAACUUUUUUUUUCCUCUUUACAGGAACAAACAACAAAGGUCUCUGAUCAUCCUGCAGUUUUUGGUUAUUUAUUUGGAGUUUGUCAUCUUCUCUGACCAAUAAAGUUCUUUUUUUCCAUUUGUUGUGAUUCCUC
ensembl:lncRNA